rnacentral:rRNA from 1 species
UACAGAGGGGGCAAGCGUUGUUCAGAAUUACUGGGCGUAAAGGGCGCGUAGGCGGCCUGCUAAGUCGAACGUGAAAUCCCCGGGCUCAACCCGGGAACUGCGUCCGAUACUGGCAGGCUUGAAUCCGGGAGAGGGAUGUGGAAUUCCAGGUGUAGCGGUGAAAUGCGUAGAUAUCUGGAGGAACACCGGUGGCGAAGGCGGCAUCCUGGACCGGUAUUGACGCUGAGGCACGAAAGCGUGGGGAGCAAACAGG